GUGCUCCCUUCGUCAGCACAUAUAUUAAAAUUGGAAUGCUACAGAGAAGAUUAGCAGGCCUCCUGAACAAGGAUGACAUGUGUAUUUGUAAAGCAUCCCAUUUUAUU